rnacentral:rRNA from 1 species
GUUGCCAUCAUUAAGUUGGGCACUCUAAGGUGACUGCCGGUGACAAACCUGAGGAUCGUGGGGAAGAAGUCAAAUCAUCAUGCCCCUUAUGACCUGGGCUACACACUGGGUACAAUGGACGGUCCAAAGAGAGGCAAGACCGCGAGGUGGAGAUAAUUUCAUAAAACCGUUCUCAGUUCGGAUUGUAGGCUGCAACUCGCCUACAUGAAGCUGGAAUCGCUAGUAAUCGCGGAUCAGCAUGCCGCGGUGAAUACGUUCCCGGGCCUUGUACACACCGCCCGUCACACCACGAGAGUUUGUAACACCCGAAGUCGGUGGGGUAACCUUUUUGGAGCCAGCCGCCUAAGGUGACAGAUAUG